rnacentral:rRNA from 1 species
AGAGUUUGAUCAUGGCUCAGAACGUACGCUGGCGGCACGCCUAACACAUGCAAGUCGAACGCAGUAGCAAUACUGAGUGGCAGACGGGUGAGUAACAUGUGGGAAUCUGCCUUGUGGUUCAGGACAACAUUGGGAAACCGAUGCUAAUACUGGAUAAGCCCUUACGGGGAAAGUUUUAAUGCCAUAAGAUGAGCCCGCAUUUGAUUAGUUAGUUGGUGAGGUAAUGGCUCACCAAGACAAUGAUCAAUAGCUGAUCUGAGAGGAUGAUCAGCCACACUGGGACUGAGACACGGCCCAGACUCCUACGGGAGGCAGCAGUGGGGAAUCUUGCACAAUGGAGGAAACUCUGAUGCAGCGAUGCCGCGUGAGUGAAGAAGGCCUUUGGGUUGUAAAGCUCUUUUGUAGGGGAAGAUAAUGACUGUACCCUAAGAAUAAGGUCCGGCUAACUUCGUGCCAGCAGCCGCGGUAAUACGAAGGGACCUAGCGUAGUUCGGAAUUACUGGGCGUAAAGCGCGCGUAGGCCGUUGAGUUAGUUAAUUGUGAAAUCCCAAAGCUUAACUUUGGAACUGCAAUUAAAACUGCUCGACUAGAGUUUGAUAGAGGAAAGCGGAAUACAUAGUGUAGAGGUGAAAUUCGUAGAUAUUAUGUAGAACACCAGUUGCGAAGGCGGCUUUCUGGGUCAACACUGACGCUGAGGCGCGAAAGUAUGGGUAGCAAAGAGGAUUAGAUACCCUCGUAGUCCAUACCAUAAACGAUGAUUGCUAGAUGUUGGAAAUUUAUUUUCAGUAUCGCAGCUAACGCAUUAAGCAAUCCGCCUGGGGAGUACGACCGCAAGGUUAAAACUCAAAUGAAUUGACGGGGACCCGCACAAGCGGUGGAGCAUGUGGUUUAAUUCGAAGAUACGCGCAGAACCUUACCAACCCUUGACAUGUCUGUCGCGAGUUUAGGAAACUAGACUUUUCGGUUCGGCCGGACAGAACACAGGUGCUGCAUGGCUGUCGUCAGCUCGUGUCGUGAGAUGUUGGGUUAAGUCCCGCAACGAGCGCAACCCUUGUCAUUAGUUGCUACGAAAGGGCACUCUAAUGAGACUGCCGGUGACAAACCGGAGGAAGGUGGGGAUGACGUCAAGUCCUCAUGGCCCUUAUGGGUAGGGCUUCACACGUCAUACAAUGGUACAUACAGAGGGCCGCCAACCCGCGAGGGGGAGCUAAUCCCAGAAAGUGUAUCGUAGUCCGGAUUGUAGUCUGCAACUCGACUACAUGAAGUUGGAAUCGCUAGUAAUCGCGGAUCAGCAUGUCGCGGUGAAUACGUUCCCGGGUCUUGUACACACCGCCCGUCACACCAUGGGAGCGGGUUUUACCAGAAGUAGGUAGCUUAACCGCAAGGAGGGCGCUUACCACGGUAGGAUUCGUGACUGGGGUGAAGUCAUAACAAGGUAGCCGUA